rnacentral:rRNA from 1 species
AUUGAACGCUGGCGGCAUGCCUUACACAUGCAAGUCGAGCGGCAGCGCGGGGGCAACCCUGGCGGCGAGCGGCGCACGGGUGAGUAAUACAUCGGAACGUGUCCUUUCGUGGGGGAUAACCAGUCGAAAGACUGGCUAAUACCGCAUGAGAUCUCACGAUGAAAGCGGGGGACCCGAGGGUAACUUCGGGCCUCGCGCGAUUGGAGCGGCCGAUGUCGGAUUAGCAGUUGGCGGGGUAAAAGCCCACCAAGGCGACGAUCCGUAGCUGGUUUGAGAGAACGACCAGCCGCACUGGGACUGAGACACGGCCCAGACUCCUACGGGAGGCAGCAGUGGGGAAUUUUGGACAAUGGGGGCAACCCUGAUCCAGCCAUGCCGCGUGUGUGAAGAAGGCCUCGG